rnacentral:tRNA from 1 species
GGCCGUAGCUCAGGGGUAGAGUGCUUGCCUAGCAUGCAUGAGGCACUGGGUUCGAUCCCCAGCACCA